UUGAGUAUGGUUCCCAGGAAUUGGCCCAUAGAGGGUGAAAGGCCCGUACGAGUGGAUGUGUCAGACAUGUAAGGCGAUUCACCAGGCCGGCCUUAGAGUCGGGUUGUUUGCGAAUGCAGCCCAAAGCGGGUGGUAAACUCCAUCCAAGGCUAAAUACUAGCACGAGUCCGAUAGCGAACAAGUACCGUGAGGGAAAGUUGAAAAGUACUUUGAAAAGAGAGUAAACAGUACGUGAAACCGCAUAGAGGUAAACGGGUGGCGUCAAGCUGCAAGCCCAGAGAAUUCAGUCGGUCAGGGUGUUGUUAUGCGCCCAGCGCAUCUAUCAGUCGGUGUAUAGUUUGGCUAGUCCGCUGGCAAAUGGCGGGCCCAGCUGUCAAAGGCUGGGAUUUGUGUACCGGGAGGUAGCCGGAGCAUGCUAGCCGUCUGUUGGACUGCCUGGCCGAUGCACUUUCUCUGUUGGUGAACACCACGACCGGUGGAACUGCCAGUCUGCUGUAGCCAGCUUCUCCGCGUGCUCUGGUCUCGGCUGGGGCAUGUGGUGAUCACAGACAAUUUCAGUGCACGGUGCUCGUGUGUUUUCCGCAUGCGGGCAUGUUAUCGGGAACUGGUUGUAAACGGGUCUGUCCGUCGACUUGUCUGUAGUCGCGGUUGACGGGUGACCCGGUGGGCUACAGUGGUAUGAAUAACUGUGCAGGGCACCGGAGUUUUCGGUCCGACCGGCAAUGGUCGCUUGCGGCUGUUGCUGCCGGCUGCACGCGCACUACAGUUUAGCGUGUGCAGCUACUGCUGCUUUAGUAGUGUUAGUAGUACGGAUGGCGCUGCUACGGCCUGCCAGUCGUUGGGUCUGAUUGUCGUGUCGCCUGCCAAAAUGGCGGGUCCGGCAGUGGCCUGGCGUUGGAUGGUGCCUGUUGGCGGCGUUGUCAAUGUGCAGCCGGAAUGUGUGCGCGACCUUAUAGUCUGUGGUGUAGUGGUAGACGGGCUACCCGACCUGUCUUGAAACACGGACCAAGGAGUUUAACAUGCGCGCGAGUCAUUGGGUCCUACGAACCCAGAGCGCAGUGAAAGUGAAGCCUCGACAUAUAUUGUUCUCGGGGUGUGGUGAGAUCCUGCUGUUUCUCGCAUACAUUUGGCCGGCACUGGGCUAUUUUCUAAUCGAGCAGCGGGCGCAUCACCGGCCCGUCCCAUGAUGUGGCUAUUUGUCGGUGGCAGUCGUAGCCGCUUCGGUGGUGGUGAUUGUCGUUCCGGUGGGUACGUCAUCGGG
rnacentral:rRNA from 1 species